rnacentral:rRNA from 1 species
UGAGUAAUGCUUAGGAAUCUGCCUAUUAGUGGGGGACACCCUUCCAAAAGGAAUGCUAAUACCGCAUACGUCCUACGGGAGAAAGCAGGGGAUCUUCGGACCUUGCGCUAAUAGAUGAGCCUAAGUCGGAUUAGCUAGUUGGUGGGGUAAAGGCCUACCAAGGCGACGAUCUGUAGCGGGUCUGAGAGGAUGAUCCGCCACACUGGGACUGAGACACGGCCCAGACUCCUACGGGAGGCAGCAGUGGGGAAUAUUGGACAAUGGGGGGAACCCUGAUCCAGCCAUGCCGCGUGUGUGAAGAAGGCCUUAUGGUUGUAAAGCACUUUAAGCGAGGAGGAGGCUACUGAGAUUAAUACUCUUGGAUAGUGGACGUUACUCGCAGAAUAAGCACCGGCUAACUCUGUGCCAGCAGCCGCGGUAAUACAGAGGGUGCGAGCGUUAAUCGGAUUUACUGGGCGUAAAGCGUGCGUAGGCGGCUUUUUAAGUCGGAUGUGAAAUCCCCGAGCUUAACUUGGGAAUUGCAUUCGAUACUGGGAAGCU